GAUGAACGCUGGCGGCGUGCCUAAUACAUGCCAGUCGAGCGAACGGACGAGAAGCUUGCUUCUCUGAUGUUAGCGGCGGACGGGUGAGUAACACGUGGAUAACCUACCUAUAAUACUUGGAUAACUUCGUGAAACCGGAGCUAAUACCGGAUAAUAUUUUGAACCGCAUUGUUCAAAAGUGAAAGACGGUCUUGCUGUCUCUUAUAGAUGGUUCCGCGCUUCAUUAGCUAGUUGGUAAGGUAACGGCUUACCAAGGCAACGAUGCAUAGCCGACCUGAGAGGGGGAUCGGCGAGACGGGAACUGAGACACGGACAAGACGCCUACGGGAGGAAGCAGUAGGGAAUAUUCCGCAAUGGGCGAAAGCAUGACGGAGAAAAGCCGCGUGAGUGAUGAAGGUCUUCGGAUCGUAAAACUCUGUUAUUAGGGAAGAACAAAUGUGUAAGUAACUGUGCACAUCUUGACGGUACCUAAUCAGAAAGCAACGGCUAACUACGUG
rnacentral:rRNA from 1 species